rnacentral:rRNA from 1 species
GACGAACGCUGGCGGUGUGCUUAACACAUGCAAGUCGAACGGUGACUUCGGAGCUUGCUUUGGGCGAUCAGUGGCGAACGGGUGAGUAACACGUGAGUAACUUGCUUUUGGCUCUGGGAUAACCUCGGGAAACCGAGGCUAAUACCGGAUAUGACACAGACAGGCAUCUGUACUGUGUGGAAAGUUUUUUGGCUAGGGAUGGACUCGCGGCCUAUCAGCUUGUUGGUGGGGUAACGGCCCACUAAGGCGACGACGGGUAGCCGGCCUGAGAGGGCGACCGGCCACACUGGGACUGAGACACGGUCCAGACUCCUACGGGAGGCAGCAGUGGGGAAUAUUGCGCAAUGGGCGAAAGCCUGACGUAGCGACGCCGCGUGAGGGAUGAAGGCCUUCGGGUUGUAAACCUCUUUCAGCAGGGAAGAAGCGAAAGUGACGGUACCUGCAGAAGAAGCAUCGGCUAACUAUGUGCCAGCCGCCGCGGUAAGAC